AGGACGAACGCUGGCGGCGUGCUUAACACAUGCAAGUCGAGCGGACAUCUUCGGAUGUUAGCGGCGAACGGGUGAGUAACACGUGGGCAACCUGCCCCUAGCUCUGGGAUAACUCCGGGAAACCGGGGCUAAAUACUGGAUAUGACCGAUCCAUGCAUGUGGGUUGGUGGAAAGUUUUUCGGCUAGGGAUGGGCCCGCGGCCUAUCAGCUUGUUGGUGGGUGAUGGCCUACCAAGGCGACGACGGGUA
rnacentral:rRNA from 1 species